GGAACCAAGGUGACGUGCAAGUUGGCACAUGUGAAGCUUUGUCGGAGCCAUUCCUGCUCUUCCAGAGCCACAAGGAGAGCCUAAAAGUCAGGGCAGAAGCGUGUCCAGCUGUCGUACGAGAAGAAGUGUGCACGGCUGAGGAGCCAGGGCGCCAAUGGUGCGGAGUCGUUCGCCAUCAAGAGGACCAAAGCUGCCAUCAGGGACCACCGGAUCAAGCUCAACAUCUCCCUCGCCUCCGUCAACGCCCUGUCCCAGAGGGUCGUCGCCGUCCACGAUGAGCCCGCAGCUCACGGAGCUCAUCCAAAUGCGGGCAAGGAUGUGGCGACUCAUCGGCGACGUGCACCAGGUGAUGUAGCGCAUAGCGGACGAGGUGAGCGUGCUCCUCUCGUUGUUGGCCACAUGGUUGGAGGGAGGCAUCAAGGGCUCGCUACUACCGGGGCGGACGUGCGCACAAUUUAUAUUGAUAUAUCUUAUUUUGCCAAACAACAAGAUAUAUGCUCCUGAUGCUAUUAACCUGACAGGGAAUUUCAGUUUCUUUCACAUGAUACAUCAAUAAAUAU